GCAACACACCUUAAAGUAACUUAAGGCAUGCUGCUGUAACACACCUGAUUGAUUAACCUUAGAAAUCAAUAAAGAUAUUUUUGAGUCAAAAUAAUUUAUUAUCCUUCUAUAUAUAAGGUAUACAGUAUUAUAAUAGGAAAGACAAUUUGCUUUAGCAUAUAUAAUGAUACAUUCGUACGCUCGAUAACAUUCUUUGAAUGCAGUUCUAAGUUCAAAUUUUCACUGAUGAUAUCAUGGGAACAUGUGUAUAAUAUGAUGGAUUGCAGGAUGUUGCAAAUAGCCAAUAUUAAAUAUAGGAGACAAUCAAGAGCCUACUCUAGUGAGGCAAUAAUAGCAGACUGAUUACUGGGUUUUUGUAGAUAAAUAUUUCAAAUGGAAACUGUACAGUUAACAUGUGUUUCAUAGAACUAACUGCGAGCAUAUUUCGCUCGCUACUCUAGUUUAAUACAUUAUUACAAAGCCUGGUUGAAUUGUAAUCAUGACCCAACGUUUCGACACUCCAGUCUAGUGUCUUCAUCAGGGGUGAUCUAAAGUUGCAAUUGUGGCUUCUUAAAUACCCAAGGGAUGACGUCACCUGCCAAUGAGAUGCAUGUAAUAUUAAGGUUGCCUUAAAACCCUAUUUGACAUUAAGCCAUAUUUUUGCAAAGCCAAAAGAUCUUGUUAAAACAAAUCAGAAAACUCAUACUGUAUAUUCUAUACCAUGCAGUGACUGCGAGAAAGAGUAUUUGGGUCAGUGUAACCACCAGUUUCGUACAUGGCUAAAAGAACAUCAAAAGACUGUUUCAACUUUAAACAAGGGAAAAUCAGCUUUAGCAGAACAUGUGUGUGACACCAAACACAAGAUUGUAUGGGAAAACUCUAAAGUAAUUGCCACAAAUAAUCGCAAUGGUCAAAGACUAUGCCUAGAAGCAUGACAUAUAAAUAUGAGUAAUUACGCUGUGAAUAGGGAUAACGGUGCCUAUUUGCCAGAGGAAUACAUGCAUCUCAUUGGCAGGUGAUGUCAUCCCUUGGGUAUUUAAGAAACCACAAUUGCAACCUUAGAUCACCCCUAGAGAAGACACUAGACUGGAGUGUCGAAACGUUGGGUCUUGAUUACAAUUCGACUGGGCUUUGUAAUCAUUUAUUUAAACCAGAGUAGCGAGCAAAACACGAUUGAUAUACCUGGUUGCAGUGAACGAACAAACUUCAAAUAACUGAGAGCAAUUGCAAGUCUGCCAGCACGAACUGAACCUGCAGCCCUGCAAUUCUACUGCAGCCCUCUGACUUA